ACGAACGCUGGCGGCGUGCCUAAUACAUGCAAGUCGAGCGGAUUUAUCCUUCGGGAUAAGUUAGCGGCGGACGGGUGAGUAACACGUAGGUAACCUGCCUAUAAGACUGGGAUAACUAUCGGAAACGAUAGCUAAGACCGGAUAACUGGUUUUCUCGCAUGAGAGAAUUAUGAAACACGGAGCAAUCUGUGGCUUAUAGAUGGGCCUGCGGCGCAUUAGCUAGUUGGUGAGGUAACGGCUCACCAAGGCGACGAUGCGUAGCCG
rnacentral:rRNA from 1 species